UGCCUGCGAAAGAUGCCAAAAAAUACUAGCAGAUAGUCGAAUUGAAAUAGACUAAAGUAGUUCAUCUUUAUAAACCAAGCAAGCAUAUCACAUAAUACGCAAAUUACACAACAAAUCGGUUUUCUUCCCAGGUACAAUAUCAUGCAAACAAGCCACUCGACUAUCUUUUCCGUUCAUCUACACCCAUUUUGUGCCUAAUCAGCAGUCCAACUCUGUUCCACGAUCUCGCGUACUCUCCUGUUGUACUCACGCUUGUUCUCGCUAAACAUCCUAGCAGCUUCAGAAUUAGCAGGAGAAUUUGGAUUGGGGUCGCACAGCAACGACUGAAUAGAGGUAAGUAUAGCUGCUACAUCAUAGAUUGGGCUCCAUUGAUUUUGCAGAAUGUCCAAACAAAUGCUUCCAUCAGCAUAAAUAUUGGGGUGGAACAUUCUAGACACAAAGCGGACUGUCGGUGGCUUAUUUGGAUAAUCCUCGGUGAACUGCAGGGUCAGCUUAAACGUACCUCCAUCCCAAGGUGUAUCAUCUGGCCCAAAUAUAACAGCAUUCCAAAGCAUGAUAUUAUUGUCUUGGGGAGCACCACUGAUACCGGCAGGUGGAUCUUGUUGCAACCUCUUAAAGUCCCUCAUCAGUCUCUUCCUUGCAGGAGUAGACAUCCUCACCGGCCGUAACCUAGCGCGGCGAGCCGAGAACUUUGGCUGAUCUCGAUGGAUUCAGAAACGAAUUCAAAAGAAAAUCCCGAUUCCUUUCUCCGCUAGUUUAGCGAGAAGUAAUCGUCGGCAAGAGAUCUCCACCGGUGACCGAAACACGAUAAGAGGAGAGAG
rnacentral:misc_RNA from 1 species